rnacentral:rRNA from 1 species
GACAGAGGGUGCAAACGUUGUUCGGAAUUACUGGGCGUAAAGCGCGUGUAGGCGGCUAUGCAAGUCGGAUGUGAAAGCCCUCGGCUCAACCGGGGAAGUGCACCCGAAACUGCAAAGCUAGAGUCUCGGAGAGGAUCGUGGAAUUCUCGGGUGUUAGAGGUGAAAUUCGUAAGAUAUCGAGAGGAACACCGGUGGCGGAAAG